CCUACGGGCGGCAGCAGUGGGGAAUAUUGCACAAUGGGGGAAACCCUGAUGCAGCGACGCCGCGUGAGUGAAGAAGUAUUUCGGUAUGUAAAGCUCUAUCAGCAGGGAAGAAAGUGCCGGUACCUGAUUAAGAAGCCCCGGCUAACUACGUGCCAGCAGCCGCGGUAAUACGUAGGGGGCAAGCGUUAUCCGGAUUUACUGGGUGUAACGGGAGCGUAGACGGCAGCACAAGUCUUGAGUGAAAUGCCGGGGCUUAACCCCGGAACUGCUUUGGAAACUGUGCAGCUAGAGUGCAGGAGAGGUAAGUGGAAUUCCGAGUGUAGCGGUGAAAUGCGUAGAUAUCACGCAGAACGCCGAUUGCGAAGGCAGUAUACCGGCGCCCAACUGACGCUCAGGCACGAAAGCGUGGGUAUCGAACAGGAUUAGAUACCCGAGUAGUC
rnacentral:rRNA from 1 species